rnacentral:misc_RNA from 1 species
GCAAGCGCCUCAAAAUCUGGCUUUGUCGGAAGCUGGCUGGACGUCAUGGAAAGGUCCACUCCUGACGGGUCUGGAGCACUGCGCGAUUAUUGAUGUAUGAUCCAGCAGGUCCUUGAACAAAACAAGGGCGGCAUUGGCAUUCUGACACUUUUUGGAGACAUUGCGGAGUGCAGCGACAUGUGGCGCUGGGCCCUAGACCUAUCCAAAGUUCGCAGAGCUCACAGGGCUGCAACCGCUGUGAUCUCGCCCAUGGUCGAGAAAAGCCGCCACCGCCUCGGGGGCAUAUCUGACCUCACAUGGUCGGACCCAUACAUGGUAGGCUUCAUGGUCAUGUUGAUCACCAUCGCGGCCAGGAUCGAAGCCGGCAAGAUCGAGGGCGAGGCUUUGUGUC